AGAUGGACGUAGUGUCCGUGACGUCACCCGUUGGUUUCUGUAGAGUGAAAAUGAGGCUCGUAGUGGGCGUUUCACCCGGCGCCAUCUUGCCGGGGCCUGACUCCUCCUAGUUCCGGGCUAACCCAUAAAUGGGCAAAAAGGCGGCGCGCGAGUGGACGCUAGGCGGGCCGAGUGAAGACUGACAACCGAGCCACGCCCACAGAGCUUAUCGUUACCUGGUUAGCUCAGGCUAAGGAGCUAGGCUAAAUGCUACCCGCGACUGCUAACCGGCUAGCGCUGCGGUGUUGUUGCUCCGGGAUGGUCGCGGUCGUAACAUCGAACCGAACAGAGUACAUCAGUUUGGCUGAAAUCUGUGGUGCUUCCACCUGCUGAACACAGAAUAAACUCACUGCAACACCUGAUGUCCUCAGAAUCCACUGUGGCAGCAGCAACAUGGUGGAGAUCGGCAGCUUCAGGCUGGUCAACAUGAUAAUAAUAUUGAGUCAAUUUCUAUAUCCAUUAUGGUUGGUAAAAUUAACACUAUCACAACAAUGUUCAUCUUUUACUUUCUGAUUUAAUAAACCUUAGAUAAAAAGUGUUGUCUUUUCUUUUUUGACAUAAGAGACAGAACACGGUCAGCACAGC